AGUGAACGCUGGCGGUAGGCCUAACACAUGCAAGUCGAACGGCAGCACAGUAAGAGCUUGCUCUUACGGGUGGCGAGUGGCGGACGGGUGAGGAAUACAUCGGAAUCUACUUUUUCGUGGGGGAUAACGUAGGGAAACUUACGCUAAUACCGCAUACGACCUACGGGUGAAAGCAGGGGAUCUUCGGACCUUGCGCGAUUGAAUGAGCCGAUGUCGGAUUAGCUAGUUGGCGGGGUAAAGGCCCACCAAGGCGACGAUCCGUAGCUGGUCUGAGAGGAUGAUCAGCCACACUGGAACUGAGACACGGUCCAGAAUCCUACGGGAGGCAGCAGUGGGGAAUAUUGGCCAAUGGGCGCAAGCCUGAUCCAGCCAUACCGCGUGGGUGAAGAAGGCCUUCGGGUUGUAAAGCCCUUUUGUUGGGAAAGAAAAGCAGCAGGUUAAUACCCCGCUGUUCUGACGGUACCCAAAGAAUAAGCACCGGCUAACUUCGUG
rnacentral:rRNA from 1 species